GCAGGAGUAUCUGCGCACGGUAUUGACCAAGUCAUUGCCCCAUCGGGGAAGCUAGGGCAGUGCGCUAUGUACGAGAGACGACCUCUAUCGACUCAAUGGAGGUUCUUUGGUUAUCUUUGGAAGAUAAUAUUGUAUAUUUCAGUAAGUUUUGAAAAAUAUUCUUGUUUCUCUUUAUAUGUCUCUUCUUUCUUUGAUGGGUUAUACACGUAAGUUAUUCUUUCUGUUAUAUUUCAGGAUGAUAGCCAUUGGAGCCUAUUGCAUCGAGUUUUGUACUCCGAAGGGCGAAAUUAUCUUUAAGGACGACCUAGUUAUCAAUCUCCAGCAAGUCUUCUCUCACCGCAAGGAGGAUGAUUUUGGUGAUUCCGCCUAGCCGAUUGAGCCUUCCAAUUCGGACUUCGUCCCGGGCAGUGCUAACACUGACGAUUGCUCGGAGCCAAUUGUCCUGUUCACCAACAAACAGAAUCGAGUUCCUCGGCCUCGCUUAACCUCGUCAAAGCUCUCGUCCGCAAAGGCCUCUGCAAUGUCCAUAUCUACGUUCCUCAAUCUAUACCAUCUCUAUUCGGGUUCACAAGCAGAUGACUCAUUGUCCUGUUCAUAUCAAAUUUUAAAUUUUAUGUUACAUUUAUCUUCUUAGAUCUUGCUGGAUAGAGGAGGUUGUUAAACAGCCUCGUAACAAAUUCAUAAUUCCUCAAAUAAAUAUCUCAUUUGAAUUGUGCGAGUGGUAAAAUACAUUGUUACUCUUACUUAAGUCAAUAAUCUUUUCGUUUCAUUACUGAUGGCUGAAGAUGUAUAAGGAAAGCUUAAUGGGCUUUUGUAACUAUGCUUGAAGGUAAAGAGUUUAUAAAUUGCAUGUCCAGGCCCCAUUUGACCUUGGGGAGAUGUCUAGGGUUUUUCCCAAUAGCAUGUGUGUUACUAAUUUCUUACUUUCUACUGAAUUAGAAAUAUGUUUCUUGACCUGUGACUAAUGAAAAGCUUGAGUUUUACAAAGCUAUCCUUGGAAAACCUUGAAAAUUUUUAGUGUUAAGAUUGGUCUAUUGAUUGGGGUGUCAUACCUUCGUGGAUAGUUGUACGCAUUUGCUGCUCAUCAGUUGUUACUCACGCUAUUCCGAGUGAAUUCCUUAUACUCUGUUUUAGCAAGGUGAAGGCUGAGAGCUCUUAAUUCUGUUGUCGUGAAAAUUGAUCUCACCUGAGGCUAUCUGAAGAAUCUUGAAUGUGCUUUGUUGUUUUGUUUCAUAUUGGCUGUGAAUCCUCGUGUCCCCAUUGCAUCUAGAUUCCUUGGCCGGGAUACCUAUCAUCUGUUUGAUAAAAUUCCUGAGCGUCAGUUUAUAUCUCAUAUGUUUCAGUUUUGAUUGGUAUGUAAUGAACUUGCCUCAUUGGUUCAGUAAUUUUCACUUCAAUAUUGGCCAUGAGAUCCAUGGCGGGGAAUUGGCGUGUUCUUGUUUUUUUACAUCCAUUAUUUGACUCAAACUUAUGAACCUACGGUCAAUACUCACUGGAACAAAGCUUAUAUUGAUGAUCGUGAUUAUGUUCUACCAUAACUUGACUUUGAUUAGCGGUCAUUCCAUUUGCAACAAUUUUGUGUAAUUGAUGUGAACGAGUUAAGUAGGGGCAUAUAUCAAAGUGAGGAACUACAUGUA